UACGUAGGGGGCAAGCGUUGUCCGGAAUCAUUGGGCGUAAAGAGCGUGUAGGCGGCCCGGUAAGUCCGCUGUGAAAGUCCAGGGCUCAACCCUGGGAUGCCGGUGGAUACUGUCGGGCUCGAGUCCGGAAGAGGAGUGUGGAAUUCCUGGUGUAGCGGUGAAAUGCGCAGAUACCAGGAGGAACACCAAUGGCGAAGGCAGCACUCUGGGACGUGACUGACGCUGAGACGCGAAAGCGUGGGGAGCAAACAGG
rnacentral:rRNA from 1 species